UGGGGAAUAUUGGGCAAUGGGGGCAACCCUGACCCAGCAACGCCGCGUGAAGGAAGAAGGCUUUCGGGUUGUAAACUUCUUUUAUCAGGGACGAUAAUGACGGUACCUGAUGAAUAAGCCACGGCUAACUACGUGCCAGCAGCCGCGGUAAUACGUAGGUGGCAAGCGUUGUCCGGAUUUACUGGGUGUAAAGGGCGCGUAGGCGGGUAUGCAAGUCAGAUGUGAAAUGCCGCAGCUUAACUGCGGAGCUGCAUUUGAAACUGUGUAUCUUGAGUAUCGGAGAGGCAGGCGGAAUUCCUAGUGUAGCGGUGAAAUGCGUAGAUAUUAGGAGGAACACCAGUGGCGAAGGCGGCCUGCUGGACGACAACUGACGCUGAGGCGCGAAAGCGUGGGGAGCAAACAGG
rnacentral:rRNA from 2 species